rnacentral:misc_RNA from 1 species
UUUCCGUAGGUGAACCUGCGGAAGGAUCAUUAAAGAGUAAGGGUCUUCGGGCCCGAUCUCCAACCCUUCGUUUAACUACCAUGUUGCUUUGGCGGGCCCGUCUCACGACCGCCGGAAGUUUGGCUUCGACCAAACUUCUGGCCCGUGCCCGUCAGUGGCCCCUUCAAAUUCUUGAUCAAGUAUGAUGUCUUAGUUAAAAACUUAAUAGUUAAAACUUUCAACAACGGAUCUCUUGGUUCUG